UGGGGAAUCUUGGACAAUGGGGGCAACCCUGAUCCAGCCAUGCCGCGUGAGUGAUGAAGGCCUUAGGGUCGUAAAGCUCUUUCGCCUGUGAAGAUAAUGACGGUAGCAGGUAAAGAAACCCCGGCUAACUCCGUGCCAGCAGCCGCGGUAAUACGGAGGGGGUUAGCGUUGUUCGGAAUUACUGGGCGUAAAGCGCACGUAGGCGGACCAGAAAGUUGGGGGUGAAAUCCCGGGGGCUCAACCCCGGAACUGCCUCCAAAACUAUUGGUCUAGAGUUCGAGAGAGGUGAGUGGAAUUCCAAGUGUAGAGGUGAAAUUCGUAGAUAUUUGGAGGAACACCAGUGGCGAAGGCGGCUCACUGGCUCGAUACUGACGCUGAGGUGCGAAAGUGUGGGGAGCAAACAGAUUAGAUACCCUGGUAGUCCACACCGUAAAACGAUGAAUGCCAGUCGUCGGGUAGCAUGCUAUUCGGUGACACACCUAACGGAUUAAGCA
rnacentral:rRNA from 1 species